GUGAUCAGUUUCUUUUGUUUGUUUUUCUAUUGUUUACCUACUAUAUUAGAUGAUGACUUACCUCCAAAACGUUUUAAAACUUUCGUUUAUAAUUCUAAGUGUGUUUAUAAUUAAAGAGCUACAGUGAAAUAAAAUGAAUUCUUCAAGAAAGGCAGCACCCAUGACAAAAGAUGAGACGAUGAUUCUAGCAGAACUUGUGGCGGCGAAAAAACAUUUCAAUAAUAAGGCAACAAAUGCCACAAACAAUAAAUUGAAGGAGCAGGCUUGGCAAACCCUUGUAAAUGAUUUUAAUUCGUCGAUUCGUCGUUUCCCACGAACUCCAUCGCAGCUUCGACUAAAAUGGGAAAACUUAAAGAACGCUACGGCAACAUAAGAAACAACCUUAGUAAGGCUGGAGGUGGUAAGGAUUGCAGAUGAAAUUUUGGAUAAAGCAUGCACAUUGUUGUAGGUCACAUAUAAUAUUUUUAACACUUUUACAGCCAAGCUUACUUUUACAACAGGAAACAAGAUGGAAGAAAAGAAAUGCAAGGCUAGCAUAGGGACAAUGCAUUAGCAGAAUAUCUAAUAGCAAAAAAGAGACUUGACUUGGAAAAUAAAGAAAAGGAGAUUGUUGUAGCAAAAGUUAAGUUAGAUUUAGAUAAUUUAAAAAAUUAAAAAUUACUUAAAAGGAAUAUUAAAUUUCAUAAAUUAAGUAGGCAAUAAUAAUUUUAUGUUAGAUAUUUUUUAAGUAUAUGUACAAAUUCUAAAUUAAAAUCUUGCAUGUACUAACUACCAUGUAAUUAUCAUUUUGGAAAAUAAAAAAUAGUCAAAUUA